rnacentral:lncRNA from 1 species
CAUUGCUUCUUGGCCCAACAUAACCCAGUUGGUUUAUUGCAUUUACUUGAGGCCAAAAAAAAAAAAGAACUUCAUGCUUCAGAAGCAGCUUGACCAGUCCCUUUCAUCUAUCUCUCUCAAGCCAAAUAUUGCAGAGCUGAUGCUGCUAAUACUGUUGUUUUCUGAAUCAAUUUCAAAAUUCAAAAUUCAAUUUCUCCCACUCUUUUUCAAUAUCAUAAUAUCAUGAGUCACUUUCUUUCUUAGUUUUCAAUUCUUCUCUCUUUAGCUUUCUCUCUUUCUCUCCCUCUUCUUUCGGUUUCCUUGAAGCUCCUCCUCACGCCUCCUUCACAUAAAGGGAAAAAGAGCAUGAUCGAUUGAAUCACAAAUUAGAGUCGUACCCUCCGACCUGUUUGAAGAAACGGUUUCAAGAACCAUCAACGGCNNNNNNNNNUCUGAACUUUAAUUGAUUGUAUUUUAGUAGUAUUUAGCUGAUGUUUGGUAUUUGAGUAGUUAUGUUUUUGUUUUGAUUUUAGGUUCAGAAUUCAAUAUUAUUAGAAUUAGAAUUCAUGCAAAAAUUGCUCCUUUUUAGUUAGGUUUGUUUUGAUUGUUGAGACUGACUCAUUUCAUUAUUAUUAUUUUUUUCAUGUUCUUCUAAAAGAGCUCCCCAAACAGCAAGGUAUCUCUUUUGAAUUUCUGAAUACAUUCAAAUAUGAUUAGGACUAAUUGUAUUGUGUAUGUUGUCAAGUUGGUUUUGGUUUCUGGUGUUUUUUAUAUGGUUUUCUAUUUAGAUGCAUGAUUUAUAACAAUGUUAUUCAUAUGGUUGGAACCUGUGAUUUUUUUAACUAGAAGGAACUGAAUUUUUUAGAUGGAAGAAAUGUUCCAUUCAUUUGAUGGUGUAUUAAUGAUAUUAAUUAGGUUUAGGGAAAUUUUGUUAUUGUGAAAUAGAUUUUUCAAACUUUAAUAAUUGACUUUUUUUUGUUUGUUUUGGACUUUUGGUAGAUAAGUUUGGAUUGUUGGAAAAUCUUAGUUCCUAAAAUUUCUCAAAUUACCCAUAUUGAUAGCAACCUCUUUUUAAUUUGAAUUCAAAUUAGCUGAUUUUAUCCACAAACCACAUUUCAUUUAGUGGAUUGAUUUAGUUUUUUUUUUCUUUCUAAAGGCUUUAUAUAAGCCACUACUUUGCAGUUGAAUAAAAUCAGAACAUUGCCUUCUUUUUCAUUCGUCAAUUUCAUCAAAUCAUUGGUGUUGUUAAGAGGUAUUGAUGGAUUUGGUGGUAGUUCUAUGUUUUCUCUCAUUUAACUCAUGGCUUUGGAGUAUUGUUUUUCACUGAGCUAUGUAGAAACUUGAAAAUGCAUAACACACGGUGGAAUACUAGAGCAAAUGCAUUUCUCUUUCUUCUAACCAAGUAUUUCUUUCAAGAGGUUUUGAGUGAAAAUGCAGAACACAAUGGCUAUGGAGUAUUGUUUUUCACGGUAGCUUUUCUAUUUAAUUUAACAACACUUAUUUUAUUUUAUUUGAAAUGUUUUAAUAAAAUUAUUUUUUUUGUGUGUACUGAGUAUGGACAUUUUAAAUUUUUAUCUUUUCCAUCUGCUGUUUACACUUUUGACUUUUGCAGCAUUGUUAUUGUAUAUACACCAAGUACUUUUCUUGAUUUCUUUGGGAAACAAAUAUAGUAUCCUCAUAAUAUCACUAUAAAAUUUCAAAGGUGAAUGUCUAAAACCUCCACCCUAUGUCUAUAUCAGACCAAUAAUUUUGAAGAUUUGUAUUUGUUGUUAAUUAUCAUUCAUCUUUGUUAACAGUCCUAUACAAAAUAUGAACUUGCUCAAUUUAUAUACUGAACAUUGGUCCACAACUCCACAUUUUUUGAAUUAUGGAAAGUUNNNNNNNNNNNNNNNNNNNNNNNNNNNNNNNNNGUUGAAUGAAUGUUUUCUUCUUUGUUUGUGACUAUUUUUUUUUACACAAUUGUAGAUGGCAGAAGCAAAAAAAGUUUAUUCUGAAGAGGUUCAACUUCUUGGUAGAUGACCAAGUUCUUUAUGUGGUGGCAUAUGUGAUAUCUCAAUACUAGGUCAGUGUAUGUGUUGUAACCUCUUUAGUUCUGUAACAAUGAAUUCUCUUAUGUACUUUGAUUAGAUUUAUUGGAACUACUCAGAUUAGUGGUUUGAUUUUACCACAUGUUAAUCAACCCGUGUUUACAUUGAUAUGUGAUUAGAAUGAAUUUGAUUGUGUAUGUUCUCUUUUAAUGUUAAUCUGAGAUUUUAAACAUAUUUCCUUUACUACCAGUUGUGUCUUUAGCUUCUUGAAUGUAUCAUCUACAUUCCCUAUGGUUUUGUAGAUUCAUUUAGACUAGCAAUUGAUCAUUGCACACCCUGUUU